rnacentral:rRNA from 1 species
AGCGAACGCUGGCGGCAGGCCUAACACAUGCAAGUCGAACGAAGCCUUCGGGCUUAGUGGCGGACGGGUGAGUAACACGUGGGAACGUACCUUUUGGUUCGGAACAACUCAGGGAAACUUGAGCUAAUACCGGAUGAGCCCUUAGGGGGGAAGAUUUAUCGCCGAAAGAGCGGCCCGCGUUAGAUUAGCUAGUUGGUGAGGUAAAGGCUCACCAAGGCUACGAUCCAUAGCUGGUCUGAGAGGAUGAUCAGCCACACUGGGACUGAGACACGGCCCAGACUCCUACGGGAGGCAGCAGUGGGGAAUCUUGCGCAAUGGGCGAAAGCCUGACGCAGCCAUGCCGCGUGAAUGAUGAAGGUCUUAGGAUUGUAAAAUUCUUUUACCAGGGACGAUAAUGACGGUACCUGGGGAAAAAGCCCCGGCUAACUUCGUGCCAGCCGCCGCAGUAAUAC